GAGGGUUAAACACUGAGUCCGACUUUGCCUCAUGGAAAGCUUAGGGUUGCAGCCGCGCCUCCCAAGCAUUCUUUAAACCAGAAAUGUGGGAGGGACUCCGAAAGGGAGGGCGUAAAGGAGGGGGGCAGAGAAAGAGGGCUCCAGAAGGGGAGCGCGCCAGAGCGCGAGGGACUGAGGGAGAAGAGGAGCGCGGGAGCGGCGCAGGCGAUCCUGCGAAUUCAUUACUGUAAACAUCUCCCGGGGGUGUCAGGAGGGGGGGUGGGGGCCGCGGCGUCUACAUUAGCCCGGCCGCACCGAUCGAGGCAGCAGUGUGGUCGGAGCAGCCUCGGGACCCACGCCGGGCCGGCGCAGCACUUGGAGCGAGCCCCGCGCCCGCCCCCGCGCCGCCCCGCGCAGCUCUGUGCUCCGGGCUCUGCGGGGUUGGCUCCCAGGCGCCCCAGGCGCGCCCGCCCGGCUCUCCGGCCGCCCCCUGAGGUCCUCCGCCUCUGAGGAGCCCCGGCGCUGCGGGACCUCUUUCCGCUGCCUUCCCCGCUCGCCCGGCUUCUUUCGGGAAUCGCGGCUUGGUGGAGGCGGAGAGGGGCAGGCAGAGGUGGAAAGGAGGCGGGGGCCGCGGCGGCCGGCGCCGAGAGAAAGUGGCAUGCCCGAGCCCUGGAGGCGGAGGUGGCGGAGGACGGGGGAAGACGAUGCCGCGGCUCCGUAGAGGAGAAAGGCGAGAGCGAGCUAGGCGAGCUGGGCGCCCGGGCUCCGGCCGGCUGCGGGGAGGCGCGCGCCGCUCUGAGGCUCCGGCCUCCGCACCCCCGCGCCCCGACGCUGCGGGCGACAAGGCUGGGCUUCGGCAGCCGCCACCGUCGCCGCCGCCGCCGCCCGGAGGACCCCGCAAAAGUUUGGAUCUGGGAGACGACGCAGCGCUGAGCGAGAUUACCACCGGGGCUGGAAGGAGACCUCGAGAACCUUCGCAGGACUGUCAUGUGCCAGGACUGGGUCUUAUACUAAAACAGAGUGACCUGCCCUCCAGGAGCUUUGGCUUUUGUGAAUGUAAUGGGAUAUCACCCAAGCGGUCAAGUGUCUGAUGGCCCUCUACGUCAUUUCUUCAUUCAUUUAAUGGGGCCUUGUCUACUUUUGUAAGUUUCCUCUGUUUUGAUGAAAGUAGUGUUUUCAAGGAUCAAGGGUCAUUAGGGUGACAUUUGUGCAAAGGCCAAACUUUCCAUCCUCGACAGGCUGGCUGGAUGUUGGAAACUGAAUUUAUCACAAAUGGAUUUCACUGGGGCUCUUUUGGGAAGAAACCAUCCACAUUCCCUGCGGUAAGGUGGUUUCUCUGUUUGGCUGGAUUUAUACUUAAGUCAUCCAAGUUACCUUUCGCAAAAACGUAAGCCGUUAAUAGAAUAUAUGAUGAUGUUUAAAACUUUGGUUUUGCAUCAUGAGGCAAGCUGGUGCAAAAGAUUGCCUUUUUGGUAGGGCAUACCUCCUGAGCUCAUUCUCCAUGAAUGGAAAGACUUGAUUUAUUAGGAUACCAACAUACUCCCCAAAGCUUGGCCUUAUUUUGACAUGUUAGUAUCAUAAAACCCUUGUGGGACAAUUUUUUACAAGUUAUUUUUCCAUACUUUGUUCAGUUGCAUUUUUAUAAUUGCCCGAUCUGAGACAGUUUCAAUUUUAAAUGUUCCGAGAGAGUAUGUUUAUUUUACUUUCCUGAUUUGUAUACAUGUAGGCCUUUGUAAAGGUUAAUUUUUAAUCAUUUUAUGGUUGCUUAAAUGAGGCUUGCAGAAAACACAUGCAUAUGUGAAGUAUAUUUAUAAAAUAUAUGAUUAGGUUGUGAUUUUUGAUCAGAAGGAAUGUUUUUAUCCGUUAUUUGGAUGCAUGACAGUGUGUAUCUAACAAUGUGCUUCUCCGUUUCUGACUUGCUAGUUGCCAAAGUUCUGACACUUGGCCCCCCUCCCCUUUUUUUUAAGUUGAUGAGAAUUUUAGCAGUACAUUGAAAAGUACCUGGCCAUAUAACUCUAUUUUUACAUGACAAAUUGCUUUUGUAGUUUGGCCAAAUUAAUCUGAGUGCCUUUUGUUCUGGCAGUGCUGAAUGAUACAAUAAUAAUAUUUGAAGAAGAAAAAUGUUUGCCUCUACUCUGAAGAGCUCUGCUAAUAAAACGAGAAGAGUCUGGAGGUAUAUGUGUUGGGAGUUAGAAAGGCACAAACAGAUCUAAGUCUUAGAUACCAUGGGGAAGGGGUGCUUAUAUAUUCUUCAGCUUGGUGGUGCUAAUUUAGCCCGUAUGUUCCUAACAGAAUAGAAGAAUGAGAUAGCCCAAGUUAUUUUUAAUUGGACAUUUUCUUUUCCAAAUAGGUCCUAAGGAAACUCUAAAUAAAGAAAAGCACAACAUGCAACGAGGGAAUUUAUUUUUGUGUGAAUGGCUUGGUACUCAAGAAGGAGAUAUGAUUCUUUUAGAGGCAGAGGGUAUACGCCAGAUGAUAAAGAAAGCUCUUCCAUUCAUCCCAAGGGGUGAUUUUUAGCACUUGCUGUAUUCCAGGCACAGAGGAAGAUCGGAGAGGCAAGUACGUAAUGCAGGAUCCCUCCACUUGAGGCUGCCUAGGCUGGGGAGGCGAGAGGGAGACACAAAACCUAAUUGCAUGUGCUUUGUACAUGACUAAAGGCAGUCAAUACUAAUAAGUGUGCCAGGAAUCCAUAAUAUUAAUGAAGAAAGCUUUAUGUGUGGAGGUUCUCAUGCUGGCUGUGUCACUUGUUAAUUUGAUAAACUUGGGCAAAUUUUUAAAUGUCUUUUAAUCUCUAUGUCUAGUCUAAAAUGGGAGAAAACAUUCUGUACUCAUGGAGCUGUUCUUCUGAGGGCUGAGAUAAUUAUGUAAAAUGUCUGCCUGUCUGGCACACAGUAGAGGCUUAAUAAAUGCUGACUGCAGAUCCUUCUCUCUCCGAAAUGAUAAUGAUUCCAUUAUGUUACUUUCCCCUUCAACAAAUAUCUUUGCCGCUUCUCUGGAAUCCCCAAAAAGGCUUUGGACCCCUUGAACCUUUCCCCUACAGGAUGCAGCCUCUUCUGCAAAAUAAAAUUUCAAUAUUUAUGUGUGUAACAGAGCGUGAAAAGGACAGCAAGGGAAAUAAGCACUUCGUAUGGUGACAGAAUGAGCUCAGAGCUAGUGGUAUAUAGUGCAGCCUGCUGGUGUGAUAGGGGCUGGAGAAGCAGGGGGAGACCAGAAAAGAGGACUCAUCUCAGCUUGGGGAAUCAGAAAGUGGUGUCUAACUUGUAGUUUGUUGUCAUUGUUGUUGUUAUGGCUGUUCAUUGAAAGCAUACGCUUCGACAGUUGAGGAGUGCUUCUCCACGCACCCUCCCCCCCAAUCUAUGCAGCCUUCCAUGGGUGACCAAUACCUGUUGCUUUGCAACAAGUCCUGUGUCUAGACUAUGACACGGGGUGCGCUGAACUGUGGUUAUUAUGUCUUUGCCGAUGUGCCGAGAUUUUUAUCAGAGUGAAUUUCAAAUACUUGCUUCACGCAAUUCGUCUCACAGAUGACUCUUGGCAGAGUCAUGCAAGUGUUUUAUUGUAGAAGAUUAACAUGUAAACCGUUGUUAUAUUUAUAUAAUGCUUAGUUUGUACUUAUAGAAUGAGUGCACCUUGCUGGUAUAAUGGUAGAUGUCCAAAUCAGAAUGGUGCUAUUGGAUUAUCAGUUUAAUGUGGAAUUAUUUCUUUCAGAGAGUAAUUUUCAGUUAAUUUAAGUAAAGGAACUUCUAACGGCUUCUAUGGAAGAUACUCUGAACAAAUACAGAACUCAAAGGCACUGGUCAAAAUACACAAUGCUGGGGUUAUUUUUCAUUUGUCUCUGUAAUUGGAUGAAUACAUAGUAUAAUUUUUUUUGCUUUCUACCCAACAAUUAAAAUAAAGGUUUUGUUUUCCCCCACUAUGAAUCUGUAAAUUUAUUGCUAUAAGAAAGUUAUACUUAACAAGAUGUUAGGCAUGUCCCAGACCUCCAAGUCCAGAAGCGCAGAAGCUUUUCCUGGUAAGAUCAUAUAAUAUAGAAUGUAAUAUAUACACGUAUAAUUAAUGAAAUUGGAGCAGAGAGAAGCAGGCAUAGAGUAUAUUUUCUAAGGUGUUAGCAUCUUAGUAAGUAGCUUCCGACCCAACAUUCCACCCAGAGUAAAACAAAAAGACCUUGUUUUGCUGCUUUAGAACAUGCAAGAGAGAUUAAAAUUCUUUGGAAAAUGGUUAAAAAAAAUUCUUUUACUCAAAUAGGUAAGGAACAAGUCCAAUAGUGCUGACAGCAGUGGAAUUUAAAACUGAACUCUAAUAAUCUCUGAGUCCAGAAGGAAUGCACGACGCACAUCCGUUCUAGUCACGCGCUUGUAACCGGGCAUUUGACCAAAGUUGAAUCCUUGCCGUGUGCCAAGCACCAUGCUGUUUUGGCAUUUUAGAUAUUCUUUCAAAGAAGACCUCAUCCUGCUCAUCAAGAAAUCUGAUGGGUCGACCUGGAGAUGCCCUCUUCCAAACUUGACUCAUCUGUCUGAAACUAAUUGGAGAAGUUGGUUCAAAACCCAGGUUCCUGGGCCCUAGGCCUGGAGGUUCUGGUUUGUUAAGCCCAUGAUGAAGCCUGGAAUGUAGAUGCACAAAACCCUCCAGGUUUGGAGUUUACUGACCUCCAUAGUAUUUAGAAUUUUUUCUGACCCAGAGACUCAGAAGUCUUAUAAUCAUCUGGUUUAUAGUCAUUUGUGAACUUCUGACAGUAUUUUUUUUCUGUCUUUUAUCACAUAGUAAAUAUUGCUUGAUUUAACCCAACUGUUCUCUCAAAGAACCAUCUGAGGGGCCAGACAUCAGGGCUGGCUUCUCUCUCGGUAGCCACAGUCUCCUGUGGGAUGCCACCACCAGGCAUCUGUGUCCCUUACACUUGUCACUGUACUGGUUUUGGUAUCUCCACUGUUACUCUCCUAAAAACCAAAAUAUAUUACUUUAGUCAGCUAUCAUGCAGAUUCCAUGUCCCUCUGGAUAAAGCCCAUCCAAACUUGUUGUCAGGACAUGUGAGAUCCAUGACCAUCUGGAUCUCAAACCAUCACUCAAGCCCCCCAAGCACCCAUCUCCUGCACCCACGUUCAUGAUAAGGCACGCUUUUUUGAUGCUUAGCCUCUCCCACACUGCUUAUCCUUCAUGUAAAAUAUGACCUCUCACUCUCCAUUUAGCAAAUUAUUUUCCUUUAAGACCCACAUGAACGUCACCCUCCGUCCUAGUCAGAAUUACUCAUUCCUCUCUCUGGGCUUCUACAGAAUUUUGUUUGUACCUUUAUUAUUUCCCUGCUUGUGUUGUAUAGUAAUGUGUCUGUUCUAAUAUCUGUCUUUUCCAUUGGACCCCAAGAACCUUGGCCCAUUCAUUCCCCUGAGUAUUGACGACAAUGCCCACUGCACCAGGUUCUGCAUAAAUACAAUUGAAUGAAUAAAUGCACAAUCGGGCUGGCCAAUCCUGGAAGACAGAAGAUUCAUAAUCUAGUGAUAGGGACUCCUUCCUCCAAUCCCAUAGAUCUGUUGCCCAAUGGGGAAAAAAUACAACCUCCCCUUUCUGCCUCCUCCAAACAGGUUUGUCAGGUAAAUAUCUAGCUGGUUAACCCAACCCUGAUCAGCAUCAAGCACUCCAAACCACACAUGAGGCAAUUCAGAUGCCACACUGGGAGAUCUGUUUAAAGAAGAAAUAAUUCCACUUGAUGAUGUAUCUUUCUUGGCACCUAGUGAAACCAUCGGUUAAGUAGUUGUGUAUGCAGAUGUGGUUAACCAUAGGAUGAGAAGUUUAACUCAUAGUAUCAACUUUGUGUAUCCUUCUUGGCAUAAUUAAAGAGAGCUUGAAGCAAAGAGCUUAUGAAAAGUUUUGUGCAUUUGCACUCUUUUUCAUUUUUUUACCCUUUGCUUUCAUGUUGUUGAUUUUUAUCGUAGGCACAUUAUUUCCUGAUGGAGAUAUCUGAGGAGCCAGGGCUCUCCUGAGAGAACAGAAGACUAGAAAUCGUAACUUGCUAAUCACUCUGUCUCCACAAAGCAGGAUCCGCCUUAGUCUUCAUGGUGUGUGCUUUGAAGACUAUUUGGAGGGUACAAUACAUUCUAAACUUACAUUGUUUCGUAAUGGUGACAAAAGUUGGACCUUUCAGUCCUCUAAUCCUAAUUCUAACAAUACUGUGCUACUUUCACGGUGAACUGUUAAUUGAUGAACACAGAUGACUUGUAUGCAUGUGGGCGGGUGUAUGCAAAAUUUCAGCAAAAUUUCCAGAGGCUAAAUAGGUAGAAGAUAGUGGAGCAUAUGUUGAUAUGCUCCUGCCUUUACUCUUGGUUCCCUCUGGGCUGUCUGUAUGUUGGCAACACAUUCAAUGCCAAUAGGAAAUACAUGGAAUGACACCUGAGAUGAUACAUGGAGUGACAAGCCACUAUGCUUUCAUAUAAGAGGCUUAGAACACCACCCAGAAGAUCUUAUAAUGUUAAUUUAUGGGACUGUUUAGAAACAGUUUGCUCUCCUUAUUCCUAGAAUCACACUGAGUAUCAGGAAGGCCAUAUUCUCAUCUAGGGGAUUAAUAGUAAUAAUAAUAAUAGUAAUAAUAAUAAUAAACAGUACAUAAAACAUCUAUAAAGGUUUAGAUCAUAGAUAAGGUUUAUUUAGAGUGCUGCUUAAACAGUUCAUGUAUAUUAUCAUAUUUAAAUUUUCAUGAAACCCUAUAAAGUGAUUCUGUUUAACAAUACUGCUCAUAACCCAACUUUACACGUAGAGAAACUGAAGUAGAGAGAAUUGCCUCGGGUUGCUUACCUUAUUUUGUAGCUAUCAAUUAUUGUUAUAAGAUAGGUGAGCACUGAGUAAUUCCCAUAAUUAACUCUGCAUUUAUUUUUCCAUACCUUGAAAAUUGAAUUCAGAGGUGAUUGUUCAUGGUUCAGUAGGUAAUCUGUGACACAGUCUUUCGUAUUUGAUUUUUUUAGUAAAUAACUAUGUAAAAGUUAUUAUUUGCUCUUUGCCAUUUUUGAGUGAAAAGGAUUCUUGAGUCUUUCAAGGUGUUUCUGUAAAAUGGGAAGAGAGAAGAAUCACUAGUUUGAAAAUAAAGUGUGACACUUGUGAUCCUAUUUUCUGUGCUAAUGAAAGUCUGUAGAGGGAGUGUCAGAUUGUGGGGUGUGUGUAUUACAGAGGACACUCUCCACUCUUUCCUUUACCAGCACUACUACUAAAUAGUUAAAUGAAUUGAUUUUCACCUCUUUCUCCUUGUGGACGUGAUAAUGGACGAUGGAAUGACCAAAGGGCAGAAAAUAGCGUAAAGGUAGUGACCUCUGAGAGAGCCUGGAAAUAAUGGAGAAUUGACUGUUUUAUAAAUAGGUCAGAUUCUCUCCUUUUCUAGAUCUGUGUAAUUGCUCAGGCUGUAGACUUUAUUGGGGAAAAAGAAUGACCCUGAGAUGGGCUGGAAAAGGCUGUUCUCCAUUGGUGGUUUGAAAAGAAGCACAAAUGUGUUUGAAAGUCUUCACCCUGUUGAAUGUGAUGUUUAGUCUCUUUCUUUCUUUCUUUCUUUCUUUCUUUCUUUCUUUCUUUCUUUCUUUCUUUCUUUCUUUCCUUUCUUUUUUGCCAUCCCUCCCUUUCUGCAUUUUGUACCAAUGCACUCAUUUUUGCAUGUAGCAAAGUUGUGUUUUAUGAAUUCAGAAAUUCAUAAAGACCUUCCAAUUAUCUGUCCUUCCUAAUUCCAUGUGAAUAUUAUCUAUGCUGCCUUAAUUCCUUAUUUCCCAUUCCUUAAUUCCUCCAUUUCCCUAUAGACAGCGAGACCAUGUCUACCGGUGCUCCUGUGUCCUUCUAUCUCCAUAAGGCCGCUGUCUGUCAUGAGGCAACUCUGGAUGGGUGGCAUACUAGAGUCAGUCUACAUGAGCUCAUUGAUGGAGUUAUGAAAGCAGGCUUUGCCCAGUCGUGGGAGCAGUUUGGUGAAUGGCCCAGUGGCCAGCCAGCUCCAUGACCAGAUGAAAACACUGGCUCUGUUUUGCCCUUCGGGAAAUUCUGUCUGUGAGAGUCUGAAUUUGGCUGAAUCAGGUGGAACCAAACAUUUGCUAUCACAGUUUACAACUGAGAAAUGAUCAGGCCAUGUGAAAGAAAUGUAAACAUACCAGUGUCGCUCCUACCAAGAAUGGCUGCUUGGCUUGUCUGGACCACGUGCGUCUGUAACAGAUCAGCCUAUGACCCCAAGUCACACUUCCCCCUCCACUCUGAGUGCUUACCUAAUUGGAUUUUCUGCUGGACUUCAGUGUGGGUGUGAGUCAGCGUGAGCUGAUUGUUUAGAACAAAGUCCCAACAAAGAACGUAAUUCAUAUUUCUUUAUUAAACGAGCUAUGUUGUCUAGAACCACUUCUUUGAGCCGUAUUUGAUUACUACCAUUCAUUCAUUUUCAAGUAUUCUAUCUCUAGUUUUAUGCAUCUUUUCAAAAUGUUGUCCUUCUUACCCUCGCACUUUGGUUCCAUUGUGGCCCAUGUAUGUCUUUCCUCCCAACUUGCCCACCAUAGUUACCUUACUCUUCCUCAUUCCAGUGCCGAUGACAUUACCUUCGAUCACAUACAAGGUCAAGGCUAUACUUCUCAGCUUGCUACUCAAGGCUGUUCCUUCUGUAGCUCUCCCAAAUCUUCCCGAAGGAAGUUUACCUUCUCUUCUGAACUGAAUUUAGAGUAUGUCCCUACUUUUAUCUUUGUAGUAGUCUUGUCGUGGUGUAAAAUUUUACCAAGUGCUUUGUCUCCACUAUCAGUGAGCUCACCUAGGGCAAAGGUCAUGCCCAAUAAAUGAGGUGCUAAAUUGACCUCAGGGAGCUGACCCCAACCUACGUCUGUGAAAUUCCCAUACAGUACAAGUCUCUGUCUCCCUCUAUCUGUCCUACUUCCCAGCAGAUUUUAAAUAUGGGGCAAAUUAAUAUUAACAAAGUUUGCACAGAAAACUCUUAUGUAUUGGAGUUUUAAAGUUAUUUAAUGGAAUAAGCUCCCUUUGUUCCGUCUGUGGAAUUCUUUGUCAAAGCAGUGCGCUCUUGCUUUGAAAACAGGAAGGUAAAACAUUCCAGCAGCAUCAUGAACCCUCCUCUGUUUAUAUUUGUAAAACCUGUAGUCUUUCCAGGCCUCUAGGCAAGAGCAAAUAGACAUAAUCAGAGGCAUUAGAACUUGAUUAUGUUGAAUUGGAUUCUUACAACUGAGGCUUGAUAGCCAAAAUUAGUGGUGUGCUAGUUUAUACUGAAAGAGAUGCUUGCGUUAUUGCAAAACCAUAGACUUCAGCUUGCUGGAAUUGUUGACGACAUCUGGAUGUUUUGAAAAAUACAGCAAUCACAUGUUUUUUAUUAUCUCCCUAAUUGUAUUCUUUUUAAAAGGGAGCUGCAGAAAGACGUAGGGCAGGGGGUAAUGGAAGGCCAUGGGGUUUGGAUUCAGAUAGAUGAAUUUGAAUCCUGGUUCUGCCCCAGCCAGCUAGGGUAACUAGAGUAUGUUUUGUUCCUGCUUUUGUUUUUUAUCUUUGUAUCUACUUUCUCGAUUUUUAACUAAGGAAAAAAUGAUAUGCAUCUCCUAGGAUCACUGUGGCAAAUAGAGCAGGUCAUGCUUGACAUGCAUCAAGUACUAGUAAGUGUUAGCUCCCUUCCCCCCUUGCCCUCUGACUUGAAAUAAUAUGAAUGCUGUGGCUUAUAAGUGGCUAUUUUUUCCUGCACAGAUGAGGAAGUUCUGUAAUACUGUGUCACUUUUUCCCCGAAGGAACUCUGUAGGGACACGGUUCUUCCUACCCAGUUUCUCCACACUAUUUAUUUCUAGGGCCCAGAAGAGGAUACGAUACCCUAGAAAUAGUCAUUACUCUGUCUGACUUAAGACACUCACUGAUGAAAAACUCCUAAAAUCACAUCUUUUUGUGGAAAAAAAAAUCUUUCCAGCAGUCUCAUCGCCUCAAAAACAGUAGGUAUCAUGGAUUAUUAGAAAGGAAUUAUCCAAAGAAAGUGCUCUUAAAAACAGCUGCCUGCAGAGGAGUCUGGCUUAUCAACAGGCAAAAAAAGGAGUUUUUUUCUGCUAAAUUUCAGCUUGUCACUACAACAUGAAAAUAGCAACAUUCAUAAUACAUUCUUUGGGGACAGUGCUGUGAAUGUUUCCACUAGGUGAAAUUCUGAAGUAACAGCUUCUGAGAAUGAACAUGAACUCUCUGAGAACCCCAGGGAAUGUCUAUUAGGAAACAGGUAAACAACAAAACAAAAAGCCAUGACAAAGAGGGAAGAAAAAGGCAAAUUAAGUAAAUAAUUUCAUUGCAGACCACGUUGUGGAAAAUACGAUGUGAUAGAGACACAGUUCAUUUAGCCUGAAUGACCGAUGUAAUUAUAACUGGCUAAUUAAUAUUUUUUCUUUUUCUGCAUAAUAUUAGUGUCAUCCACAGUUAUGAAGGUGUUUUCCCUAUCAAAACACCACAGCCGUGCAAAAUUAUAUUUAUCGACUUCUUUCCUGGUGAAAAAUCAGUGUUGUUUUAGCUUUUACCUAGAUUUCUGUUUGAAGGGUUAUCCAUAGUCUGGAAACAUAAUGUUAGAAGAUAAAGAGAGAUCUACACUAUACGGCAUGAUAUUUUUAAUCUUUAAUAAACAGAGAUUGGAACUUACCCUCGAUUAUACUUUUGUGUGGAGAUAUUGAUCUCCUUAUGCAAAAUACUCUGGAAAUCUGGAAGAGGUUCAUGGGAAAAUUGUAGCAUUCUCUUUAUUAGUGACGGGAAUAACAAGAAUAAUUAUCCUGGUGGUUUAGCUCAAGUUUGGUCUUUUCGUGAUAGGCAUGGAAAUAAGCUGACUUGACAUUGCCUCUCCUGUUCUGUGAUUUUGCAUUUCUAAAUCACUACCAGAAUUUCUGUGAAAAUAUAUAGCAAAUAUCUUCAUGGAAAAAAAAAAGAGUAUUCAGAUAAUUCUUUGUCUUUAAGUGACGGAGAGACUUGUAAACAAUGAGAUCCAGAGGAGAUCUCUAAUUUCAUUUACCUGGUGGUUUGGGUUUGAUUCUGACUCCACCUUGUUACUGGGACUCCUGACAAGAAGAUGAAGGGAUUGAACUUCAAGCCCCAUGUCCUUCUUUCUUCAAAAUUAAGAGCAUGUUGCACAGGAAAGAGUGGUAGUUGGUAUCUGUGAGCUGUAGUGAACAGGGCCCUUAGGUCAUAAUUGGUAUAAGGAAUAGGAUUGUUUGGAAAAGUUAGGAAAUAGGGUCCAGGGGACAGAAGCUUAAGAAAGAUCCAGACACAUGGCUGGUAGAGAGAGCCUCCCAGAAUCUCUUUUUCUGCAUACAGUAGCUCUUACCCUUCUCCAAUGGAUAGUUCCUGGGAAUUCAUAAGAACAUGAAACAUAUCUUUUUUCACAUCACUCUAUAAUUGAACUGCAAAGCCCAAGUGACAGCAAGAGAGGUUCCAGUGCCAUCUCCACUUGUCCUGUUUAAUAGGAAGGGCUGCAAAGGGCCUUGUGGUCAUGAGCACAACAUCCAUGAACCAGCACACACAGAGGGGAUCUCACGUACAGCAUGGUGGUUCAGCGUGGAAUUAGGUGGGCUGGAAUUUGAAUCCCAGCUGUACUAUUGACUGUGAAAUUGGGGCAAAUUAUACAAUUUAUCGAAGUCUCUUCUGUAAAAUCAAUAUACUAGUAUUUUUUUAGUGUUCUUAUAAAGAUUAAGUGAUGUAAGAAAUGAAAAACAUUGUGCACAAUAGGAUCUUAGUGUAUUGUUGUUGGUUUUCUGUGUUUGAUGAAUUACCACUGGAUGAAUUUUUUCAAAAUUCUUUGAAAAAAAUAGAUGGAGAAAUGCAUGGACUGGAUGAAUAUGUGUAAAGGGUCUUCCCUGAAAUGUCUAAAAGAUUCAUUUUAUUUAAGAUUGCAGUGGACCCUACUGAAAUACCUGAAGAUUUGAUUUAAUUAUCGCCAGAGAGAAAGUACAGUAUGGAGUGAGACACUUGGAGAUGGGAACCAUGCUUCGAAUUCCUUGUCAUUGUUGUAACUUAUAUUUAAGUCUUAAAGUACGCAUUUGUUCUUACUUCCCUGUCUCCUGUAGCAGGCAGGGCAUGUGUCAUUAUCCCUUCCUCAUAGUAUCACCCAGAGGAAAAUGAAAUGCUGAAGGGCAUGCCCCUUUCUGUUUUGUGUCUCUGUGUACUAAGCAGUCAUCCUAUCAACAGUCGAUGCCAUGGAUUGAAUGGGACACGUAGUGUGGGGUACUCAAAAGAUCGUGAGGUGGGUGGGCAGAAGGUCUGAGUUCCAGUUUUUGUGCUGUCUCUAAAAAAAAUCUUUGCUUUCGU